GACGAACGCUGGCGGCGUGCCUAACACAUGCAAGUCGAACGAGAAGUCCCGGCCUUGUGGCGCACGGCGAGUUGCGAAGUGGGGAUUUGCACUUGGGUUCGCUGUCACUGUCAGAGAUAUCUCCUAAUGCAAGAUGGUGUCUUACGGCAAAAGAUGUAUCGCUCUGGGAUGGGCGCGCGUAGGAUUCGCUAGUUGGUGGGGUAAUGGCCUACCAUGGCCAGGAUGCUUAGCUGGUGUGAGAGGAUGAUCAGCCCCGCUGGGAAUGAGACACGGCCCAGACUCCUACGGGAGGCAGCAGUGGGUAAUAUUGGACGAGGGGCGCAAGCCUGAUCCAGCAAUGCGGGGUAAGUGAUGAUGGCCGUAGGGUUGUAAAGCUCUUUUACCAGGGAUGAUAAUGACGGUACCUGGAGAAUAAGCUCCGGCUAACUCCGUG
rnacentral:rRNA from 1 species